GACGAACGCUGGCGGCGUGCUUAACACAUGCAAGUCGAACGGUAAGGCCCUUCGGGGUACACGAGUGGCGAACGGGUGAGUAACACGUGGGUGAUCUGCCCUGCACUUCGGGAUAAACCUGGGAAACUGGGUCUAAUACCGGAUAGGACUCCGGACUGCAUGGUCGGGGGUGGAAAGCUUUUGCGGUGUGGGAUGGGCCCGCGGCCUAUCAGCUUGUUGGUGGGGUGAUGGCCUACCAAGGCGACGACGGGUAGCCGGCCUGAGAGGGUGACCGGCCACACUGGGACUGAGAUACGGCCCAGACUCCUACGGGAGGCAGCAGUGGGGAAUAUUGCACAAUGGGCGCAAGCCUGAUGCAGCGACGCCGCGUGAGGGAUGACGGCCUUCGGGUUGUAAACCUCUUUCAGCAUCGACGAAGCGAAAGUGACGGUAGGUGCAGAAGAAGGACCGGCCAACUACGUGCCAGCCGCCGCGGUAA
rnacentral:rRNA from 1 species